UCAACUUUAUAAAGAAAUAGUAUAGAUUUGUCUAGCCCAAAGUAAGAAUUUGAAGGGGCUCGGUUGUUUUCUUUUCUUUGGUGUCCAGUCUUGGCCCAAAGUAAGAAUUUGAAGGGCCUCAGUUGUUUUCUUGUCUUUGGUGUCCAGUCUUGGGUUUCCAAAGCCCAACAACCUGAUGUAGUGUGUUUUAGCUGUGUUAUAUCCCUAUGUGUGUGUAUACACUUGAUAAGAUCAGCAAUGUUUUUUUGGGGUCCUUUGUUUUUCCCUCUCCCUUCUCUAUCACGUGGCCACUUGGGCCGAGUCUGAAGCCAACCUGCAGGAAAUUCCUUCACAUUUAUCGAGUCCGGUGAACAAAAGGAAACUAAUACUAAAGAAACGCAUAGAAGGCCCAACCAUGGGUAAAAAUGGCCAACUAGGUGGUUGGUACGCCCCUAGCCUUCCUUCUUCUUUUUACUUUGUUUAGUUAUUUAAGUUUUUUUCCUUUAUUUGUGAAGUUUAUCGUAUUGUGUAAAAAUCAUAUAUUAUUGGAAUCUUUUAUGAUUACGAACUAGUCGUCUUAGCACAACGAUACUUAUGCCGUUUACUUGACUUUAAGUCCACAAAGUAAUUUUCGAACAAAAAAGGAUUAAGCAUAAAGAAUGUCAUUAGGAAUAAAUGAGGAUCUUCACAACAAAUUAAAAUAGAAAGAAAAAAUGGAUUUUCAAAAUCACACGAUGGUAUAACAUACUCCUUAGAAUGGAUCAGUUUUCAAACCAUUGCAGUAUUUCUAAAAAAAAAUCAAAGUGAAGUCUUUUGAAUCACCGAAACCAAAUCAUAGCUUGAUAAAAAAACUAGGCCGAGCCCAGUAGAAGGACAUGACUAUUUUUGGGGCUGAGACCCAUUUGGAGGAAAACCAUUUUUGAAACUAAAAUAAAAGAGACCGAAUCUCACAAAACACAAGUUUUUGGGCUAAAGUCCAAAACUGGAAAACUUCUAUUGAAAUCAAA